rnacentral:rRNA from 1 species
UACAUGCAGUCGAGCGGACCGAAUAGAAGCUUGCUUCUAUUUGGUUAGCGGCGGACGGGUGAGUAACACGUGGGCAACCUGCCCUGUAGACGGGGAUAACACCGAGAAAUCGGUGCUAAUACCGGAUAAUACGGAAUGUCGCAUGACGUUUCGUUGAAAGGCGGCGCAAGCUGUCGCUACAGGAUGGGCCCGCGGCGCAUUAGCUAGUUGGUGAGGUAACGGCUCACCAAGGCGACGAUGCGUAGCCGACCUGAGAGGGUGAUCGGCCACACUGGGACUGAGACACGGCCCAGACUCCUACGGGAGGCAGCAGUAGGGAAUCUUCCGCAAUGGACGAAAGUCUGACGGAGCAACGCCGCGUGAGCGAAGAAGGCCUUCGGGUCGUAAAGCUCUGUUGUUAGGGAAGAACAAGUAGCGCAGUAACUGGCGUUACUUUGACGGUACCUAACGAGGAAGCCACGGCUAACUACGUGCCAGCAGCCGCGGUAAUACGUAGGUGGCAAGCGUUGUCCGGAAUUAUUGGGCGUAAAGCGCGCGCAGGCGGUUCCUUAAGUCUGAUG